rnacentral:tRNA from 1 species
GGAGAGUUGGCAGAGUGGUCGAUUGCGGCGGUCUUGAAAACCGCUGAGGUGCGAGCCUCCGGGGGUUCGAAUCCCUCACUCUCCG